AUGACGAUCAGAAGAAUGCCAACGAUCGCCAAAACCAGAGCUGCAGAGGCGGUGAUGAUCUGGCAUUGCUGUUGGUUACCCAUGGAUGCCGUGUAUGCGACGCGAUCCAGCGAGGAAAAGUGAUAGCAACGACAUUUGUUGGCGCUCAGGGGAAAUGAAAAUGUGCUACCUAUCACACUGAGCGGUGUAAUCUCUGAUUUCUGGGUCGUUGAUGCCGGUAAUGCGCUCCUCAGGCCGAUCCAGCACUAGGAAGGCUGCCAAAUUGGCAGUAUAGGAUGCAACUAUAAUCAUAGCAAAGCCAGCCCACACCAUACCUAAAAUCCUCGCUGAAAAGCUCCGUGGGGCACCUGCGAACGUAAGCAGGCAGCAGUACGCCCCAGGAGAACCACAUGGCAGAAGAUAAGCGGUCUAAUAGGUAGAGCAUCACCGCCACAACAUGGACCGAUAGACCCACCAGUAACCACAGAGUGCUCUGAAAGGGCUGCAUGAAUGAGUCAAGCGUACUGCGUGGUAUUUCCUGCAAAACAAAACAGAUUUUUACACAGCCUAAAAAACACCACCCACAUUACCACAUGCAUCACCAUAUGGAGCAUCACACGCAGUCUACUGUGCUUGUCAGAGGUGUAUUAUUAGGCCUUAGUGUACUCCAGUGAGUCGGAUGAUUUUUCACAGCUUUUCUGGAGUACAGACAUCAGCCCACUUAAGGGAAUUUAAUAAGUGAGCAAACUGUAACACAAUCUCUGACACAGAAAGCAUGCUCUCAGAGGAUUUUACUGGAAAUUAAUUAUAUUUCUGUUACUUGUAUAUAAAAUUGACUCCUCACUAUCAUUAAUUCCUUGGUAAAAUUAGAUUAAAUAAAUACAGUUUAAAGUAUAGCACAGUAUGUACAGUAGAUUUAAACAGGCUAUUUUUAAUACCUUUUUGACAAGGAUUGUGAGCCCCUGGUACUUGAACGGUUUCGAGAACUCUAUAUAUUGGGCUCGUUCAUUGUUUAUUGUAAGUGGAGCCACAAUCAUAUCUGCCAAACCACUCAGGAGUUCUCCCAUCAUGCCAUUCCACUCCUUCUUGUUGCUGUUAUUUACCUGAUAUUAAGAAAAUAGUAUUAGUCGUGUCACAUUUAUUUGUAACCUUGAAAAUCUUAUUAUGAGAUUAGGUGCAUUAAAGUUUGAUUUCAGUCAUUGAUUUCAGUCUUUGACAUGACCUUA